UACAGCAGGAUCAGGAGCUGAUGGUGUUUU
rnacentral:piRNA from 1 species